CUCCCUGCCUGUCUUCUAAGGAUAGCUUUAGGCAAAGUAUUUAAUUCCUCACUAAGUACCUCUACUUAAUAGUGGUGAAUUAAUUACUUCAUAUUUAAAUAACUAGUGAUUAUUAAUAGCUGCAAUGAGUAAUUAUAGCGAUUAACCCAUCCUAGCCUCAGGCUGGCUUCUCAGAAUCAGUUCCCUCUCCCAAAUUGCCAGAAGCACCAUUCUUGAGGAGUGGUCUCCUAAGCCUUACACUGCAGUGGGGCCAAGAGGCAACUCAGUGACUCACCUACAUUUUCACUUCUGGCUCAUCCACGCAUGCAAAGGCAAGAAGCCAGAAAGACUUGGUUAUUUAAACUAUCUCCUGUCUAUAGCCCAAAGUGCUCAAUAAAACCAAAUUAAUAAUUUUUUUUUUUUUUUUUUUUCUGUAGACAGGGGCUCCUGGAAUGGACACAUGGAGAAAAGAAGGCAAAAGGCUACAGAAAGGGAUUUGGUCUCUGAGAAAAUUCCCCUCUCUGGAUUCCCAGGCCUUCUCUAAUGGAAGCAUUUGGAGUCUGAGUUCUUAUGACUCCUGCCCCGAGGAUAAACUUUCCCACUGAAGCACGUCCUAGUACUGCCGACCUAUCUGAGGAAAAGCCCCAGAUCCUUCUGGCCUCCACCCAGCAAUCCUUCCCUAGAGAAGCCAGGAUUCAGUGGAAAUUCAGCAACGGUGAGCACUUGACUGAUUCCCCUAGGGAUAUGGCGCAUUAGUCACCCCAUAAACAUUUAAUUUUAUUUAGCCAUAUUUUAUAAGCUGGCACAU
ensembl:lncRNA